GAUGAACGCUGGCGGCGUGCCUAAUACAUGCAAGUCGAACGCUCAGGGGGGGGCCUGCCUCCCUGGACGUUUUGCGCGGGGGUGAGUAUCGCGCAGGUAUAACGUCCGUUUGCGGGGGGGAAAUCUUGGGAAAGCCGGCUAUAAUCCCAUAUAAUUUGUUGUACCGUGUUGUUCACUUGUAAGGUGCGAUUGUGUUAUUACUAGUUGGUGCAGCGGCGCCUUAUUAGCUAGUUGGUGAGGUAACGGCUUACCAAGGCGACGAUUCGUAGCCGACCUGAGAGGGUGAUCGGCCACACUGGAACUGAGACACGGCCCAGACUCCUACGGGAGGCAGCAGUAGGGAAUCUUCCGCAAUGGGCGGAAGCCUGACCGAGCAACGCCGCGUGAGUGAUGAAGGUCUUCGGAUCGUAAAACUCUGUUAUUAGGGAAGAACAAAUGUGUAAGUAACUAUGCACCUCUUGACCGUAACCAAACAGAAAGCCAAGGCCAACUAACUG
rnacentral:rRNA from 1 species